GGACAUUUUUCAGCCCAGUGGUUGCAUUUCCCUCCACACAACACUAGUCAAAUGUACAAAUGAACAGAGCAAUGAAAGCAAGCCUUAUCUUUGCACAGGAAGGUGUUCAAGGAAUGACAUGCAGAGAGAAAGCACCAAACCCAAUUAAACCUAUUAAGAAAUAGGUUGUCCAACCCCCUGAAAUUCAGGAAACUCAGCUGAAAUUUAUGAAACGCUUGUAUUUCUGCAUGUGUUUAUAGAAUCCAUAUUGCUAUUCGGAAUACUCUAAAUGGGGGUGGGGACCUCAGCUGCACACCCACCUCCCUUCAUUUUUUGGGGGGGUCUCCCUCCCCCACCUGCCCAGGAGCUUCCCUGGCUGCUAUCUCCCCAUCCAUCAUCCCACUAGCAUUGCACCCUCCACUAGCCCCCCCCCCCCAAGAUUGCUGCGCCCCAAGGCAUUUUGCACUCGCCUGAACCCUUGCAGGGUAAGGGGCAGGGCACAAUGGGAAGGGAUGGGGUGAUCGGGCUGCUUAAACCACACCCCUUUUCUAAUGGAAGUGGCAUGGGGGGUCAGUAUCUAGCACCCCCUUCUCUGCUUCUCUUGAACUCUUUGACUUUAAUAGGGAAGUUUUAUUACAAAAAAGUUUAAUGUUUUAUUAUGUUUUUAUAUAUGUUGGUGAAACCCAGUAAGAUGUGUGGCGUAUAAAUAGUAAAAUUAUCCUUAUGGGAUGGGACGUUCCUAUUUUCAUCAGAGAAAUGUUGGAGGGUAUACAUUUCAGACCCGGAGGCUUGGCAAACCUAGUUCCCUCAAAGACUUUUGUCUUCACCUGUGUAUUGGGGAGGUGAGGAAAAUGACAAAAUGGCACAGCACUCCCAAGCGCAGAAGCAAACCUUUCUAAUCUUGGGUGGCAAGUGAGCUGGGGAGGCCACCUUUCAUGGGGACAAAGAUCACAAUUGAAUCACACAGUUAGCUGGCCAGCCUGAAAGGAAGGCACAGAGAAAACCUCAAGACAUUAACGAUAACUAACCCCAACCCAGUGAUCAUUAAUUUAUUCCCUCAGAUGCUCUCCCCGCUUCCCUGCCCCAACUGUGGGAAAGAAAUGGCCUCAUCUGCAUGACAAAAGGAGUUUGUGUGUUUUGUGUUUGUGUGUAAGGGCAUCCAAGCAAGAGGGGUAGAAUUAAAAUAGUGUGACAUAAGCUCAGCUUUCAUAAUUGGCGAACUUGGCGUUGUUGGGGCCUGACAAGCUGGCAACGUGUGAGUAAUUAUCUCAUUAACCUCAACCAAGCGAAGGCAGUGAAGGGGAAUCAGGAGCACAUUCCUCCUCCUUUAACUAAAGAUUCCCUCCUUUUUCCCAGCAGGUUUUUGAAGGGCAAGUGGCUUGCAGGGUGUGCGAGAGAGGGAGAGGAAGACUGUUCAAGAACCCAAAAAGUCAAGGGACAGCUGACUACCUUUUCUGGUGUGUGUGCUGUUUUUUUUUUUUUUAUAAGAUAUUUAUUGAAAUUUUCAAAGUGUUACCAAAUAAAAUAAAAGCAGUAGAAAAUACAAAAUAAAAGUAAUUAACAAAGUAGAAAAAAAACAAAAAAACAA